CCUAGAGGUAGUUGUGGGUCUAUAUUACUCUGCUGUCAACAGACUGACCUAGAGGUAGUUGUGGGUCUAUAUUACUCUGCUGUCAACAGACUGACCUAGAGGUAGUUGUGGGUCUAUAUUACUCUGCUGUCAACAGACUGACUAGACUGAUCUAGAGGUAGUUGUGGGUCUAUAUUACUCUGCUGUCAACAGACUGAGCUAGACUGACCUAGAGGUAGUUGUGGGUCUAUAUUUUGCAAAAGUACUUCCCAAAAUUCACCAGAUUUCCAGAAAUCCCAGGUUGUAGGAUUCCCAGAUUUCCCUUCUUGAUUUUAGGAAUCUGGGAUAAAAAAAUAAAAAAUAAAA